rnacentral:rRNA from 1 species
GACGAACGCUGGCGGCGUGCUUAACACAUGCAAGUCGUGCGGUAAGUCCCUUUCGGGGGUACACGAGCGGAGAACGGGUAUGUAACACGUGCGCAACCUGCCCUUCCCUUUGGGAUAACUGCCGGAAACGGUGGCUAAUCCCGGAUAUGACUUCCUCACGCCUGUGGGGUGGUGGAAAGCCUUCUGGUGGUGGGGGAUGGGCUCGCGGUCUAUCAGCUUGUUGGGGGGGUGAUGGCCUACCCAGGCGUGGACGGGCAGCCGGACUGAGAGGGGAAGCGGCCACGCUGGGAUGGGGACAAGGCCCAGACUACUACGGGAGGGAGGGGUGGAGAAUAUUAGACAACGGGAGGGAGGCUGAUCUAACGACGCGGCGUGGGGGAUGAGGGGCAUUGGGUUGUUAAGUUCUUUCGCCUGAGCCGGGGCGAGAGUGACGGUAGCAGGUAAAGAAGCACCGGCUAACUACGUG